rnacentral:rRNA from 1 species
UACGAAGGGGGCUAGCGUUGUUCGGAAUCACUGGGCGUAAAGGGCGCGUAGGCGGCUUGAUAAGUCGGGGGUGAAAGCCUGUGGCUCAACCACAGAAUUGCCUUCGAUACUGUCGGGCUUGAGACCGGAAGAGGUAAGUGGAACUGCGAGUGUAGAGGUGAAAUUCGUAGAUAUUCGCAAGAACACCAGUGGCGAAGGCGGCUUACUGGUCCGGUUCUGACGCUGAGGCGCGAAAAGCGUGGGGGAGCAAACAGG